rnacentral:lncRNA from 1 species
GUUUCUGUUGCUGUGAUGAACAUCAUUACCAAAAGCAAUUUGAAAAGGAAAGGGUUUAUUUCACCUUAAAUCUCUGAAAUAACAUUCUAUCACCAAGGGAAGUCAGCGUAGGAAGUCAAGCAGGAACCUGGAGGCAGGAACCUAAGCAGAGGCCAUGGAGUAGUGUUGUUUAUUGGUUUGCUCCUCCUGGCUUGCUCAGUUUGACCACCUGCCUAGGUAGAACCUCACCCACAAUGGGCCAGGUCUUACCCUCCCCACACAUCAGUCAUUAGUCAAGAAUAUACACAUUAUAUUUAAAAUACCUUUAUCCAUUAGGUAUCAAUCCAAAUAUCAAAUUUCCCUAUUGUAGGAGAUGGAACUCUGGGCUUUUGGCAGGUUAAGUCCCUGAGCUGUGCCUUGAGCAUUUUCAAGGUCUUCUUGUCUUUACAGCGUGUGUCUAAAUCCUGCACAAUGUUCUUAAUGAUCUCUGAAGAGGGACACUGUGGUCACUUGAGUUUUCCUCAGAUGUGGUUUACUAUAAGCCUACUCUGCCCACUGGGGUAUAUCAAGUAGGCAGGGUCAAAGUUCAUCUGGGUCACCACCGUGGUCCUAUCCCUACAGCAUUGCUUGAUGCACCCCAGUGCUCAAUGAAUAUUAUCUGACUAACUGAUUAAAUGCCUAUUUUUGUUUUAAAAAUACUUUACCGUUUUUCUAUCCUUUUUUAAAGUGACGAAGAUUUGAUUUUAUUAAGAAAUUAUGAAUAGAGCCUUCAGACCUCCUAAAGAGUAAACACUAAAAUCCUCAAAACAAUUCCUUUGUUCUUAGGAGCUGCGUGAAUUCAAAGGACAUUUAUAAUGCCCGAUAAUGCUCUAGGAAGUUAGCCAAGAACUUCACUAUCACCAGGAGUUUUGAAACCUUCAGGAUUUUUCUCCUGGUGUGUUUAAGAACAUUCUCGUUCACUCUGAGCACGGAAUGUGCUGGCUUGUAUCAACGUCGUUGUCUUUCCCCCACCUCCCCCUAAGUCUUGCUGCAGCUUCUUUUCAGGGUCACAUACGAUUCCAGCUGCCUUUGAGGUGUGCAGAAGACAGCCCUCCGAGCUUCCCCCAGUUCACCUGGCUCUAAUCAGAGACAAUCCGCAGAACACAGUACAGUUUCACAGCAGGAUAAAAGCUGGUUUCUAUAAGUUUUUCAGAUGUCUUCUCCUUCUUCACACCAGAAAGAGAGUCUGGUCUACCAAAACCACUGCCGGAGCUGAGCUCAGAGGUACCACAGCAGGGAUACUUCACCGUCAAUACUUGCAAAGAGCACUGCGUCAUUCACUUGACAGGAAUGAGACUCCCUGUCCUGUCUUCAGUCCUGUCUUCAGUUACUCAACAGCUCUCAAGGCCACAUCUGUGUCCUGCCAAUUACAUUCUAGAAACAAACAAGCAAAGAAAUAAAUGCUUGGAACCACCUGUGAUUUAAAGAACUUGUAUUAGUGCUUAGAUGAACAGCAACAACCCACAGACAUAAAUAAUACAUGCCAGUAAGGCCA